CUAACAUUAGUCACACCAAAGGAGCUCCUAUCUCGGUGACUCUGUAUCCGGAUGCUGCUGUGGGUGGUGGAGGCUGAUUAGGAGACAAGCAUCGCAGAGCUGCUGGAUUCAUCUGCUUCAAAUGUAAGCUGAUUGUAUGCUGUGCCUGCUGAACAUUCCAGACUCCUCAGUAUGGCCCACUGCUCGAGUUUGCCCCUCUGCAGCCUCCAUGAUGCUAUUCCUCCUCUGUUCUCCACAAAGACUGGUCCUUUCUCCUGAGGAAGGGUUCUCCUCAGAGGCCUCCCCUGAACACCUAUCUUACCCCCACCGCCCCUCUGUUCAUACCUCAAUAUUCUCCCCAUCUCUGCCCUUUGUCGCCUUCAUAGCACCUAACACAUUUUGUAAUUAACUGCUGAGUCCACUGACUUCCUGGGCAUUCCUCCACCCCUAACAGGAAAACAAACCACAUGAGAGCAAGAGACUUUAAAUUGUCUGGUUCACCCAAGUGUCCUCAGCACUCUGUAGAGUGCUGGGCACAGAGCAGCUGCUCAGUAAAUGUUCACUGAAUAAACAAAAAGGAUGCCAGGUGCGGUGGCUCAGCCUAUAAUCUCAGCACUUUGGGAG
rnacentral:lncRNA from 1 species